UACGUAGGUGGCAAGCGUUGUCCGGAUUUGCUGGGCGUAAAGAGCGCGCAGGCGGUCGUUCAAGUCGCGUGUGAAAGCCCCCGGCUCAACUGGGGAGGGUCACGCGAUACUGAUCGACUGGAAGGCAGGAGAGGGUAGUGGAAUUCCCGGUGUAGUGGUGAAAUGCGUAGAUAUCGGGAGGAACACCAGUGGCGAAGGCGACUACCUGGCCUGUUCUUGACGCUGAGGCGCGAAAGCUAGGGGAGCAAACGGG
rnacentral:rRNA from 1 species